CUCAUCCCACCCCACCACAACCACCGCUAGACCAUCACCAUCACCGCCACGACCAUCAACUCCAUCAUCGCUAAUAAAACCAUCCCAACAUCACCAUACCAUGGAAACCACCACCACCAACAUACCCUCCACCAUCACAAUCACCGCCAAAUCCAACAUGCCCAUCGCCACCGUUGGAUCAAACAAAACCACGCCACGCAAACACCAUGACCACGAGCACCACCACCACUAUAGCCCCACCUACCAACUGAAAACACACCCAAAAACGCACAUUAGGUUGCGGAGUUGUAGAUACCGGCCACGGCGCACAGCAGAUCUCGACGACAACUCACAACGGGCUAAUCGAAAAGGAGUAGGAGGCUACAAUCAACGGUUGAACUAGUGGUGGUCUCUCUUGCAACGGUAAGUUAGUUCUCACUGAUUUCAAACAGGAAGCAAAAGCACUUAUGGUCACACUUUGCUUGCGUCACCGCACAGUAGUUGAGCGGGGUUCUUCGUUUCGCUCUGUGUGCAACAUUAUGUCUCUACGAUUGCACUUUUGGCCAUUGCUUAGUCAUUGUGUAGAGAGAGAAGAUUGGGGGAGAGAGAGGGCGGCUAUGGUAGAGUCUUCACAAUGGCAGUGGUGGUGGUAUUUUUCCGAGAGGAGAGAUAAGUGAGGGAUAGAGAGAGACAUGAAAUGGGAAAAGAGGGAUAAUGAA
rnacentral:lncRNA from 1 species